UACGUAGGGGGCGAGCGUUGUCCGGAUUUAUUGGGCGUAAAGAGCGUGUAGGCGGCCAGGUAGGUCUGCUGUGAAAACUCGAGGCUCAACCUCGAGACGUCGGCGGAAACCAUCUGGCUAGAGUCCGGAAGAGGAGACUGGAAUUCCUGGUGUAGCAGUGAAAUGCGUAGAUAUCAGGAGGAACACCGAUGGCGAAGGCAGGUCUCUGGGCUGACACUGACGCUGAGGCUCGAAAGCGUGGGGAGCAAACAGG
rnacentral:rRNA from 1 species